GCUGGGAAGGGAUGGGAGCAAAGAGCACAGUCAGACCUUCCAACGGUCCCCAGACUAACAGGGCUUUUCUCUUUUCCGUAGCCCAGUGUCUUGUCCUGGGAGAAGUCCAAGGAAAGCACUAGGCUCACUCUUUUUUUUUUUUUUUUUGGUUCUUUUUUUCGGAGCUGGGAACCGAACCCAGGGCCUUGCGCUUCCUAGGUAAGCGCUCUACCACUGAGCUAAAUCCCCAGCCCCCACUAGGCUCACUCUUAAUCGACCAGGAAUGGCUGGCCUUACAACCCUUAGGCACAGAGCAAGCAUUAAAUGCUGCUUCUGCCCUGUGUAUUCAGCACAUGGGUUCACAGGGCCCAUGAUGUCACUCUCCAAGUUCUAACUUCAAGACUGAACAUAGAAGUGAAACAGUAGGGGAUGCCCAAAGAAGCCCUAACAUGGCUUUGGCUGCACAGCCCCGGAGUGAUAAGGCAGAAAGAGCAUACAUAGCACACAGACAACUAACUUAGUGCCUCAGCUUUGCCCGUCAGCCUUCAUCCAGGCUCCAAAUCCUUUGAGCCAAUAGGUCUUAGUCAGUUAUCUUAGCAACAUGGCAAAGGUACUGAGAAAGGCAAAGCUACGCCUCCAGUUAGGGCAAAGUAGAAACACAAAACUGUCCUUGAUUUGGGUCCAUGCAAGUGAUGUAUGGCAAAGCAAUCCCAGUACUUGGGAGGCAGAGGCAAAGGCAGGUCAUCCAGGAGUUCAAGGCCAUAGCUCAUUAGUUAAGGGUACUAGCUGUUCUUUCAGAGGACCCCAGUUCAAUUCCCAGAGCCCACAUGAUAGCUCACACCUUUCUAUAACUCCAGUUUCAGAGCUUCUGACAUUCGUACGCAGAUAUACAUGAAGCGAAAACACCAAUAAACAUAAAAUAAAAAUAGAGACCAGUCUAGAAAAAAGAAAAGACUCAACCCCUGCAAAGAGGGGGAAAAGCCAGGCAGUGGUGGGAGACGCCUUUAAUCCCAGCAUGAGACAAGAGGCAGAUGGUACCUGAUUUUUUUUUUCUUUUUUUAGAUUUACUUAUUUGAUUUUCUUUUUUAAAUAUAAAUACACUGUAGUUUCAGACACACCAGAAGAGGGUAUCAGAUCCCAUUACAGAAAGUUGUGAGACACCACGUGGUUGCUGGGAAUUGAACUCAGGACCUCUGGAAGAGCAGUCAGUGCUCUCUUAACCGCUGAGCCAUCUCUCCAGCCCCUGAUAUUUUUUAAGAAAAAUUUUCCCCCACACAAUUUAAGACAGGUAUGACUUUGCUGUUUUUUGCUGGAGUUUAAAAUUAUGCAUAAGAAUAUAAGAUAAACAUGGUGACCUAUACCUUUAAUGUCAGUACUUGGGAAUCAGAGGCAGGUAGAUCUCUUGAGUUUGAGGCCAGCCUGUCUACACUACACAGUGAGUUCUAUGACAGCCAUGUCUACAUAGAGACCCUGCUCAUUAACAAAAACAAAAAACAAAAAACAAAAAAAAACAAAAAAACCAAAAACCUGAGAAUACAGCAAGUGCAGUGGUAAAGCACUUGUCUGAACAAUUCUAAGAUCCAGGUUCAGUUCACAUACAGAGAGACUCCUCAAACCAGGUGUGGACUGCACACAUGCUCCUAACUCUUGCCCAUGGGAAGGCAGAGAAGGAAAAUUGUAACACCAAGUUCAAGGCCUGUAUAGGAAGCUGAGUAAAACCCUGUCCUGUCUCAAAACAAAAAGACAGCGGGGCAGUAGCUCAGAGGCUCAACACUAAAGUCUGAGUUGGUGCCCUGGCUGGGCUAAGCAGACAUCCGUUCUCUUCUCCCGAGGAAAAGGUAAGGCAAUAUAAUGUCAGAGUAGUGGCAGUUGGGAGGAGUAAAUAGGUUUGCAGAUGGACUGAUGUGGGGUUUGAGACAAAAAGGGUAACUAGCAAUUUACUAGAAAAGGAGUAGUAUGACAAGGCCUUGCUAGGUUGCCUUGGCUGCCCAGGAACUUGCUAUGUAGACCAGACCAGUCUCAAACUCACGGUGAUCUGCCUGCCUCCUCCUCUUGAGUGUUAGGGUUAUUCCUUUUGUUUUGAGACAGGAGUUUACUAAGUAGCCCAGGAUGGCGUCCAAACUCAUCCUCUUGCCUCAGCCUCACUAGUGUUCACUCUGCCAACAACUUUUAAUCCACCAAACCAAAUAGAGGUAACACCUAGUUACCAGUAGCGAGGCUAUUAACCAACAGAAGAGAGGGCCAGGCUAUGAUCUCACAGAUGGUAUCUAGAGCUAAGGACCCAGAUGCCAUCUCCUAAAUACAUAUAAACAUUGUCUAUGCUAAACUUGGAAGUGUUAUGACCACGGGCUCAUCACAGGACAAUAAGCUUACAGUCUAACAUAGGAAUGACAGACAGCAAUGUGACGUGCUACCAAUUGUAGGAAUAAAUAAGCAAGGAAUGUGGGAGAUGCCGGCUGUGAUGCUACACAUCUGUAGUCCCCGGAGUUGGGAAGACGAGGGUUUGAGACUCUACAAGGGUCUGCAUAGAUAGAAAUAGAGAGACAGAAUGCAGAGGCCUAAAGUCUGGCUUUAACCUUAAGGCAGCCAAUGGAGGUUGGCAAAGAAGAAACUUCAAUAUAGAAUGUUUGUGGACAAAGUCAGUGCAUCGGACUGCAGAAACAGGUAAAAGGCAGUUGACAGAGUAAAGAUUAAAGAUUGCAGCUUGGGUAUGAGUGGAACAGCAGCCAGAGGAAUGAAGGAGUCAAGAAAGAAGAAAUAACAGCUUUAUGCAGGUUGACAGAAGACCUGGAAGAGGUGAAUGCCAGAGAGGAGAAAAUAAUUGCUUUUGCAAUGGGAGAAGAGCUAACCCCUGCUAGGGUCAGUCCAGCCUUCUGCUGGAGGUACACUAGAACCCAGACACUCAACAGAAAGGGACCUUUGGAACAAUUUCCUCUGAGAUUGAAAAAUUCUAUCCUGCAGAGGAAGCUCCUUAAGUAGGAAGGUAAACAAUUCAAAAUAGUUUCAGGAAGUCACCCAAACUGAUUAAAUUCACUAAGCCUCUCCCUAUGAGUAAACAAUGAAAGCUCAGUUCAAAGACACUUAUGAGGAAAACUGACUGGAAGAAGCAGAAACCAACUGAACUGCAUGUAAGAGGUUUAGCUUAACUGAGGUGCCUCGAAAGGACUUUCUCCAGCCUGUGGAGUGGUCUACAGGCUGUGCAGUGUGCACCAAAUUUCCAUCUUUGUGAGUGACAGGUCACCCAUGCCUUUGAAUCAUUUCUGUUCCUGUAAGUAACCCCUCACCUGUACCCUGGAAAUGGGCGGAGACACACCUUGUUGGUGUUGUUUUAUCAGUCAGGGCAGAGCAGAUGGCAGUCCUUUGUCAUCCUAGCUUGAUACCUGUCUUGGUGGCCAAAGCUGUUUCAUGACUAGGGCACAUUUGGAAAAAAAAAAAAAAAAAAAAAAAGAAAAAGGUAACCCCUCAUCCACAUUCCUGUGAGUAAUGUUAACUCAAUAAAACUCACUGGGUCACACUGGACUUUGGUGGCAUGCAUUCUUUUGGUCUCUUGUCAGUUCCUCAACUGGGGGGAAUGGAUUUGUAUGAAUUGCAUCUCCUCAAGGAAAGUGUUGCCACACAACAGGGCUGUGCAUCAGCUUGUGACUGGGUGUCUGGAAGAAGCCUGACAGGUUACAGCCUGUUGGGCGAGAGACCCUGGCUAAGAAACCUUACCCCACUUAUGUGGCACUAGCAGGAGGUGUGGCCUUGUUGGAGGGAGUGUGUCACUGUACAGGCAGGCCUUGAGAGCUUAUGCGCAAGCCCCACCCAGCACGGAAGAGAGCCUCCCUCCCGGUCGCCUGCAUCCUUCUGGUCAAAAUGUAGAACUCGCCCCCUUAUACACUAUGUCUAGAAUCACCAGGACAUAGAAUAACUGUUUAGCUUUUUGUGGAACCGCUAAACUGCUUUUCCACAGUGGCUGUAUCAUCUUACAUUCUAACCAGAAAUGUAUCUGUUCUUAAAAAAAAAAAAGUACAACUUCCCACCAUGCCUGCUUGGACGCUUCCAUGUUUUCUGUCUUGAUGACAACAGAGUAAACUCUGAACCUGUAAGCCAGCCCUAUUAGAUGUUGUCCUUUAUUAAGAGUUGCCUUGCCAUGUCUCUUUACAGCAAUAAGACCCAAGGUCCAGCUUCCACCCGAUAGCACUUUAUUUUUGUACUGCUGGAGUUUUUGCUGGACACAGCAGUUUAUGCUUAUAAUCUUAGCUCAAGGGCUGAGGCUGGAGAACUGAGAGAUUAAGGUUAGCCUGGCCUACAGAACAGACUCUGUAAGUCUUGGCUACCCUUGCAAAGGACUCAAGUUCAAUUCCCAGCAUCUACUUGGUGGCUCACAACCAUUUCUAAUUCUGCAGGUGAUUCAAAAUGCUCACCUGGAGUCAGCAGGUCCCAGGCAAGCAUGAUAUGCAGACUUAUAUGCAGACAAAACAACCAAACACAUUGGGAUUUUAUACACAUGCUAAACAAUCAUCCCACGCUAGUAUCUUCCUUUUCUGGUUUUUAUUUAUUUUUAUGUAUUUAUUUUACUUUAAACUUUUUUGGUUCUUUGUGAGUUUCAUGUGAUGCACCCCAGUCCCACUUAUCUCCUCGGCCCCUCAUAUUUGCCCCUCUGCCCUUGUAACCUUCUUCCUAAACACACACACACACACACACACACACACACACACACACACACACACACCCAUAGAAAACACCUCAUCAUGGAAGCUGUAGUGUGUCACAGUGUGCCCUGAAGUACACCUGUGUCCACACACUAUCACACAUGUUCAGGGUUGUUUUUUUAAAAUCAUUGUUGUUCUAUUAGAUGAGCUAGGGAUAAAGCAAGGUAGCAUGAGAUGGUGUGUGAAAGUGUAGGUAAGAGAAACUUUCAGAGUUGGUGUUCUUUUUUUGGUUUUUCUAGACAAGGUUUCUCUGUGUAGUCCUGCCUGUCCUGAACUCACUCUGUAGAUCAGGCUGGCCUCCAACUCAAGAGAUCUGCCUGCCUCUGCCUCCCAAGUGCUGGGAUUAAAGUUGUGCACCACCACCACACCCAGCUUGGUGUUUCUAAUGCGAACCAGGCAUCAAAUUGAUGUCUGGUUUGAACAGCAAGAAUUUUACCCUUAAGCCAACUCUCCAGCCGGGCCUUUCUUUCAAGGUGUGGUCUCCCUACUUUGCCUAGGCUGGCAUGAGGCCCCUGAGCAUAAAGGCAGUGGCUGGGACCACAGAUGUGCGCCAUUACAACGCCUGGCUCACAGUUUAGGUUUCCUGCGCUCUACCCUCAUGAUCGAGACAUUACAGAGAGCUCAGAACUUAGCUAUGGGUCCAGAAGCUGGGGACUCCUCAAGUUACUGAUUCUUCUGGGUGCCAAGGGAACAGAAUCAAUGGAUGGAGAAAAGAGCAGGGGAGCAAAGCCUGAUGUGACAGAGAAGAGAACCCUAAAGCCAGAGAAAGCAUGCUGAGAGCCACUGAACUGCUGAGCUGCGCCUAAUUCCAAUGGAAGGAGUGACUCCUGAAAGCUGUCUGACCUCCCUUGUACACCAUGACAUGUGCCCUCCCAUAAGUAAAUGAAAGGAAAAACUUUUAGAAAGCUUGAGAAAUAAGGAAAGAAAGCUGUGAGGAUUGAUUACAAGUCUUUGGGACAAACUGGUCCACUUCACUCUUGGCCCCUUGAAGAGGUCUCCUCCUGAGUGGGCUGCUCCAACUCUCACUUCCCACCUGCAGAGGCUGGACUAAGCCCACUUCUUUUAGUUCUCACUAAAGACAAACCCUACCCAGGGAUCUUGGAAAUGUCACACCACUCAAAUGACAAGCGAGAGCAGAAAGCAGUUUCCAGCUCAAGAGCUUUGUGUCAGGCACUGCUGUUGCAGAGUACGUGACCACGCUGUGAGCCCCGAGACUGGCUGGUUAUUGGGAAAGCCUAGGUGCGCUGUGGCUCUUCCCUAGCACACACAUUCAGUCCAAGAGCUUUCUGCUUGUGAUAAACAGGAUUCAAUAAAGUCAACCAUAAGUCAAGAGGCAAGGCAAGCAACCUGUUGACAAGAAGUGAACAUGGGAAAAACAAAAACAAGAGUAAGAGGAAGUCAGGAGGAUAGACAGAGAGAUGCACAGGAAGUAGAAGGGAGGGAUGUUCAGUUGGGAGGGGGCUGAGACAACAUGGAGAAGAACUUUCAUUUUGGGAAUGCUGGUGUUAAAGAAGGGCAGCUGGGUGCUUUCUCUGCCUCUCUCUGAUCUCGCAGGCUCUCACCCCAACAACUGGUUCCCGAAUCUGAACUGGUAAAGUUGAACCUAUUGAGACUUUGUUAUAGACGACAUUUGGCAAUCCAACAUCAGAGAAAUCACACCAUUUGCAGACAAACUAAGAAGCCAUCAGAUUUGGGAAGUCCUCAAGGAGUUAUGGAUGGGAAAAACCAUAAUGCAAGGUGCUAGGGAUACUGUAUAGCAUCACUUUACAUGGCUUAAAAACAGAAGUCAAAAACGAGAAGCCAAAUGGCUUGGCUGAAACUGGCUCAGUACUGAUUAUCAUCUUAGUACUUCAUACUUUAUCCUCCAGGGUCAGAGUGACGUCCUGUACCAUCUCAAAGAAAAACUACAUAAAGGAAAAAGAAAACUAUGGAAAGUGGACUGAUAAGAUACAAGCUUUAGACUUAUAAAUGAAAAUACUUAGGCACAGAGCAAUUAAAAGAUUUAAUGACUGUUGUUAAAAACAACAUUGCUCUGCAUUUAAUCAAGGGAUGGAACAGCUUCAGUAGAUAAAACAAAAAAUUCAGGCAAGACCAGAAAACAAGUAUUUUGGUGAACUGCUAUAUUUAUAGCAGAGACCAAGGCUAACCACACAAAUAAAUGGCAUGAAAUUAAAGGUUUAGUAGACAUAGGAACAGAUGUAACAAUAAUUUCACCAAAAUCACGGCAUCUAGAUUGGCCUCCUCAGGAAGUAAAUAUAUUCAGCUUCUAGACAUUGAAUUUUAUCUCAGUGAAACAACGUGCAGGAUGGGUCAAGUGUAUGCCAGAAGGGACAAACAGGGAAGUUAAAACUAUAUGUGGCGGGGUUGGGGAUUUAGCUCAGUGGUAGAGCGCUUGCCUAGGAAGUGCAAGGCCCUGGGUUCGGUCCCCAGCUCCGGAAAAAAGAACCAAAAAAAAGAAAAAAAAAAAAAAAAAAAGGAUAAUUUUGGUCUGGAGAGAUGGCUCAGUGGUUAAGAGCACUGACUGCCCUUCCAGAGGUCCUGAGUUCAAGUCUCAGUACCCACAUGGUGGCUCACAACCAUCUGUAAUGGGAUCUGAUGCCCUCUUCUGGUGUGUCUGAAGAGUGAUACUGUACUCAGAUACAUAAAAUAAACACAUAAAUAAAUCUUUUUUAAAAAGGACAUUUUUGUUGUUUGGUAUUAAAAACACAGUAAAGGGAUUUAAAAUGUUUUAAGUAAAUUCAAAGGGUUUUUACUACAGUUCAAAUUUGUUUUUUCAAUCUCUAAGAGUUGGAGCGAUUUGGAGCUAGGAUAAAGUAUUUCAUGCCUACAAAGCCAGCAGAGACAAACUGGUUGUUUCUAGUGUUAUAGAGAUGGUGGUAGUGGUGGCACAUGCCUUUAAUCCUACCACCCAGGCACAAAACUCAGAUACAGCUCCUAAUUGGUAUAUUUGCUCAGUAGAGAAAUCAUAUACCAUAUUUACAGAUUAUUAUAAAAACCCUCUAUAGAGUUACCAGAGAGGCAGCUAAUUUCCAAUGGGGCCAGGAACUAAAGAACCAUUUCUGUGACUGCUGGUGAGCUCAUCCCCCUGCAUGCAACCCUGACCAACACUGAAGCAGAUAAUACCCUAAUUAUGGAUAUCAUAUUUAUCAGUGACCUAGCAACCAGGAUUCUUCAUAAAU